CCUACGGGGGGCAGCAGUGGGGAAUAUUGCACAAUGGGGGAAACCCUGAUGCAGCGACGCCGCGAGAGUGAAGAAGUAUUUCGGUAUGUAAAGCUCUAUCAGCAGGGAAGAAAAUGACGGUACCUGAUUAAGAAGCCCCGGCUAACUACGUGCCAGCAGCCGCGGUAAUACGUAGGGGGCAAGCGUUAUCCGGAUUUACUGGGUGUAAGGGGAGCGUAGACGGCAGCACAAGUCUGGAGUGAAAUGCCGGGGCUUAACCCCGGAACUGCUUUGGAAACUGUGCAACUAGAGUGCAGGAGAGGUAAGUGGAAUUCCUAGUGUAGCGGUGAAAUGCGUAGAUAUUAGGAGGAACGCCAGUGGCGAAGGCGGCUUACUGGACUGUAACUGACGUUGAGGCUCGAAAGCGUGGAGAGCAAACAGGAUUAGAUACCCCUGUAGUC
rnacentral:rRNA from 1 species